UGAGUAGUUCAGAGUUUGAUCCUGGCUCAGGACGAACGCUGGCGGCGUGCUUAACACAUGCAAGUCGAACGGAGUUAAGGAGCUUGCUCCUUAACUUAGUGGCGAACGGGUGAGUAACGCGUGAGAAACCUGCCUUUCAGUGGGGGACAACAGUUGGAAACGACUGCUAAUACCGCAUAAUGUUAUUUGGGGGCAUCCUCGAAUAACCAAAGCUUUAUGUGCUGAAAGAUGGUCUCGCGUCUGAUUAGCUAGUUGGUGAGGUAACGGUUCACCAAGGCGACGAUCAGUAGCCGGUCUGAGAGGAUGAACGGCCACAUUGGGACUGAGAUACGGCCCAG
rnacentral:rRNA from 1 species